CUCCUUUACUCUCUCUUCUAAAAAAACCUUAAAUCUUCUCCUAAUAAACCUAAAUCCCUCACUCGCCUCAUUUUUUUCCUUCACGAACUCUAAUCCGAGCCACCGCUGAUCAAGAAAAUCCACCACUAUCUCUUCCGAUUUCACUAACAUCUGAUCAUCUUCAAGUACAUGCCUGAUGAGGCUCGAUUUUUUAAGGCGUACGAUGAAGUUAUUUGGAUUGCAGUUGCCUGUUGAAGCUGUGUUGUAGCAAGUUCUAGAAGCUCCAGGUCUCCACGAAUGGUUUGAAGGAGCCAUAGAAGCUGGAAAUCCCGAGGAGAUGUUUUGAAAGAAGUUGCUCUUCAGAAGUCCUGAAGGUUCAUUCUUUUUCUUGGAGAUCUCAAGAUAGGAGGAUAUGGCUAAAGACCUGUAGUGAUUGGGCUCAUAUAUCUGGUUUGAUGUCGUGACUAGCAAGCUUGAUGAAAGCAUAUCUAUCUUGGAGUUAGGCAAAAGGUAUACACAAUUAACUUAAAUAAGUCCCAAUUAAUCUCAUCGGUGUACUAUGACUCUGAUAUGGUUAGAGAUCCAAUGAAUUCGGUGAUGUUCUUCUUUACAAUCAAGCUUUGGAAGGUAUUGCAAUACCUAUGGUAAGAAUAGCUACAGCGUUUAUUUUUUUUCUUGAAAUGCAUGCGUAGACACUGAAUCAUUUGUUUUAUAUAUGCAUCUUUUUAGCUUUCUCUUGAACUAAAGGCAAGAUUGGAAUUGGUCAUCUGAUACCGAUAGAUAAGAAUUAUAUUACAUGGUUCUUAUGAUUAUUGAUGUGUAUUUUAUAAUACUAACACCCUGGUUGUAUUUGGCUAGAAAAAUUGAACAUUUCUUUUCUCCUUAAUAAAUUCUUGAACCACCAAGUGAGGAGGAGGUUUCUCUGAUUCUGAAAAGUUUUGGACAACUAUAUUUUAACAUGUUUUAUAGGAGUUUACAUUGUCACGUACUUGUAUCAUUCUUGUGUUUUUGCAGUUGCUGCAUGAAAGAUUGGAUAAUAUGUGCUAAAAGUGAGAUUGUGAGCUAGCUUGAAAAAAUUGAAGCAGCCUCAGCUGCAUGAAAGGAGUAAGUAUGAAUGAUCUUUAUGUGUGAAUGUGUGAUUAACCAUUUAAUAAACAUGUCAUAUUUUGGUUGACAAGCUUAAUCCUGUUAAUUAAACGUGUUGUAUUUGGGUCAACACGUUUAACCCAUUUUAUUAAACAGGUCGACCUGCUGACAUGUUCAAAAGUUAGAAUAAAAAAAUCAAAAAGAAAAAAUAAUAGGUCAAACCGCAACCCAUUUUAACCGUUUAUAAGCAAAUUGAUUUGGGUUAUAUUUAUUUUUGAUUGGCCAAAUUGGUUAAGCUUAAAUGACUAACUAAACAGGAAAUGGGCCAAAUUCAUUCAUAUUGUAUUUUUUAACAUAUGAGUUACAUUUCAGGUUCAAUAAAACGACUAAAAGAACUGCUUGCAGAUCUGUCGAAUAUUUGUUUUGUUGAUUUAUAAUUGUUGAAAUAUGAAUGAACAAAUUGCUUUCGAAAAGGAUAAAUAAUGUGAGAUUCCAUGGGUUUAGGGUUUGAAGUUUGAACAGAGUUGGUACUGAACUCUGCUACUUAUUAAGAGUUUAAAAUUUCAAUUUUAAUUCUGGUAAUCUCUAUGAUCGUGGGUGGAUGAAAUGUGUUACACGCAUUGAGUUAGUUACUUUUUUUUAACGGCAAGAAACGACGUGCCAACCACCGUGACACCGGGCGCUGUGACCAAGGUUGACUACUCGACCGCUGCCAGCCCCUUGGCUCUCCCAGAUGCGUGGAAACCCGACAUCAAGUUACUAAUCCAAGAGGUUAAGAACAAAAAGUGUCCCAAUAUUUGAAUUUUAUGCCAGCCAUUUUAGAUCAUUGGGUACAUGAGUUAAUUUGUUGCUUCAAAAGUGAGUACCAAAGCAUUUACGUUUGCUACAGUACUAGUACGUAUGCUAUAACCAACCCUUCUUUAAUGCCUUUAAACUCCACUUCUGUUACUUCACAUUACUUUCAUAAAUACUUUGACCAUGGUCAACAAC